rnacentral:lncRNA from 1 species
UAGUACUGUAGGUGAAGGUCAUCUGCUGUAGAAGCUCGAUCAGGGGCUUUCUGCGGAGAAGUUCAGUUUCACGCAGAAUUCGACAGAAGGUCGACCGGCAGUGGAUGUCGGAUGGUGCUGGAGAGGUUCACCCACUGGAGGAGUUCGGCUAUUGGAGCCCGUGCGUCGUAGGAGUUCAUCCAAAAUCUGUCCGCUAUAGAAGUUCGGUCGGAGUCUAGUUUUCGUAGAAGUCCGGAUGGGGAUCAUUUAUUGAGGAAGCUCGGCUGAAGCCUGCCUGUAAUAGAAGUCUGGAAGAAAUUCAUUCACAAAGGAAGCUCGAGUGG